UCUUGCGUGGGCCUGCCAGCUGGUGGCUGUGUCCCCUUCUCCGAGGACCUCCCGUCAGGCUUCGAGCAGGAUGUGGACGGAGCCCCUGGGCUUGCAGGAGCCUGCCAAGACAUGCCAGCCACAGGGGACAGCAAUGGUGACGAGGACUUGGCGCAUGGGGUGAGACAGGACUCCCCAGGCACCUCAGUGCCACUGCCAGUGCUGGCAGGCUGCCUGCAGGGAGCCUUCA
rnacentral:lncRNA from 1 species